GUCCGUUUGAAGAUAUAAAUGGUCUGACCUGCUCACUGAUAAAAUUGUUUAAGAGCCGCGGUAUUUUGACCGUGCAAAGGUAGCAUAAUCAUUAGGGGUUUAAUUGGAACCUGGAAUGAAGGGUUGGACAAAGGGAAGACUGUCUCUAUAGCAAAAUUGAAAUUUACUUUUGAGUGAGAAGGCUCAAAUGUAUCAAAGGGACGAUAAGACCCUAUAAAGCUUUAUGAAUUACUUGAAUUUGAUUGAGUUAAAUGAUAAAAAUCAAAUUUAAUAAUUUCAUUUUGUUGGGGUGAUGUGAGUAUAAUUGUUGUUAACUGCUUAAAAGAAGUUCUUGUAUAAAAGAUUUAUUAUGUAUAUGAUCCUUUUUAAAGAUUAAAAGAUUAAGUUACUUUAGGGAUAACAGCGUUAUUUCUUUUGAGAGUUCUUAUCGAAAAAGAAGAUUGCGACCUCGAUGUUGAAUUAAAAUGUCUGUAUAAUGCAGCCGUUAUACAAGAGGGUCUGUUCGACCUUUAAAUUUUU
rnacentral:rRNA from 1 species